CAUGUCUUUAUUUUUCAUUUUUGUAGGAUAUAGGACUAUGCUACAAUUUUAUGUAGAAUCUAUUUAGAAUCCUAUACAGAAUUCCAGACUAACAUGUUUUACUUUCAGCUCUUUAAAGAUGUCAUUCUAUUGUUUUGGCCUUCAUUGUUUCUGAAGAGAAAUCAGACAAUUUUAUCAUUGUUUUCGUCUGUGUAAUGUUUCUUUUUUCUCUGACUGCUUUUAAGAUUUUUGUGUCGUCUUUGGCUAUCUACAGAGUGAAUAUGGUGUGCCUAGUUCUGUUUUUGUGUUUAUCCUUUUUUGGGAUUACUAUGAUUCUUGAUGCUGAAGUUGGAUAUUUUUAAUCGAUUUUGAGAAAUUCUUGGUCAUUAUGUUUUCAAGUAUUUCUUCUGACCCAUUUUCUAUCUCUCACGGAUGCAAUUACAUAUUUACUAGACUACUUAAUAUUGUCCUAGAGAUCAUAGACUCAAGUUUUUUACUCAUUCCCCCUUUUAUUUAUUUAUUUUUGAUAAUUGACCUGUCCUCAGGUUUAUUGCUUCUUUUUGCUGCUGUUAAUAGGCUACUGUUGUGUUUCGUGGCCUCUUAGGCUCCUAAUAUGUAUUCACUUUUAAUGAUAGUGUAUUUAAAAAAUUUUUGACAUUUCAGUUUGCUUUCUUUUUAUACUUUUCAUUACUCUGCUGAAAUUCUCUGUAUAUUCAUGCAUGUAUAUCCACCUUUUCCACUGAAUUAUUUGACAUAUUUAUCAUAGUUAUGCUGAAGUUACCCCCUGAUAAAUCUAACAUCUGUACCUUCUAGAGUCUCAGCCUGUUGACUGUUUUCUCAUUUGAUUAUUGUUCACAUUUUUUUCUUUUUGUGUGUCUCAAAAUUUCUUACUGUAUGUUGGACAUUGUGAGAAAAAAGUAGAGAUUGAGAAAAUUAAUAUUUUUUUUUUACCCUAGAAAAGUGCAUACUUUUUUUUUGUUAGGCCUUGGCUUGGGAAAGUUGAGGAAAUCUGUUGUAUAUUUGAGGUAUGUGGGUUUUAUUUCAGCUUUAGUUGGAUUAGUUUACGACUGACUUCAAAUGUUUUGAAAACAAAAUAAGGUCUUUUCUGUCACUAGGGCUUGUGAUCUGAGCAUUGGCAAGAUUUCAGAGAUCUCUGUAUGCUCACAGACUGUUUUGGUUGCUAGGGAGUUCUUUUUCCUUCCCUGUUUCCGACUUUAUUAAUCUCAGGAGGUCUCUCUUCUUUUUGCUCUGCUAGUUCAAGCCUUUGGCAUCCAGUGCUUUGUACUUAAUGAAAGUUCACAACACUCUGAGGAACUGUUCUCAGUUCUUCUGCCUUAUUUCUGGCCUCAGUUGCAACUGUUUUGACCUAGUGAAGGCCUAGUCUUUCUCAGACAGAUUUCUUUUAACUCUUCUGCCCUGACUCCAGUCUUCACUGGGAUGCUGCCUUGCACUUAGGGAAGGUUCACAUGCCUCAAGGAUCUCUCUGUCAGAUUUCUUGACUUUCCCUCAGUCUUCAGGAUAGUCCUCCUAUGUGCCUGGUGAAGACCUGUGGUAAAGUGCUGGCAGAUGAGGAAGCUAAAUCACGUAAAAAUUAAGAAACAGCUCAGCGUUUCACAGCUAGGUCACACAGCUGCUAAUUGUUCUGUGCAGGAAAUGCAUGAGGGAAGAAGAAAAGACACACAUACAAUACCUUUAAGGGUGAACAACCUUUAUCCCAUGUAAAUGGCAAUGCAGAUAUAAUAAGCAAAUGAUAUAAUAAGCAAAUUGAUAUAAUAGGCAGAUUGAUAUAAUAAGCAAAUUGCAAUGGGAAGGGGAGAAGGAAAAGAUGUAUAUAUAUGUAUAUAUUUACACUCAGCAGACUAUGGAGGAUUCACCACCAGACUGGGAAGCAACAGCCUGGGCUCCCGAGUCGGACAUCAUACUCACCAGAUUGUGGAGGAUUCACCACCAGACUGGGAAGCAACAGUCUGGGCUCAAGAGUCAGAAGUAACAACACCCUGGCCUCCAGAGUUGGACACUACACUCACCAUACUAUGGAGGGGAUUCACCACCAGGCUGGGAAGCAACAGCCUGGGCUCCAGAGUUGGACGCUACACUCACCAUACUAUGGAGGGGAUUCACCACCAGACUGGGAAGCAACAACAGCCUGGCCUCCAGAGUUGGACGCUACACUCACCAUACUAUGGAGGGGAUUCACCACCAGACUGGGAAGCAACAGCCUGGGCUCCAGAGUUGGCUACCCAUCCAUGCACAGAUGAGGAGAGGUCUCGUGAAGCUGUGGCAUGGUCUGGGACCCUAACUUUUUUUGUAACAAGUUGUUUGGCAUGAGGCCCAGUCACAAGGGCCCUUCACUGUGUCGUAAACACUUUUCAUGUAAUUAUUUGUGUUUUUAUGGUUCUAGUUAUAAUUGGAGCAAAUUUUCUACUUUAUAACAAUUUAUACAUUUCACUAAUAGGCAUACAUAUUGUAUCUGUUUGUUCACUAGUGUAACUAAUGCUACACCAAACAUCUGUGUGCAUAAAUCUUUGUUUAAAUAUGAUUAUUUUCUUAUUAUUAGAAAUAAAAUGGUGAUGAGAAGAUAAAGGUAUUUCUAAGGCUCUUGAAGCAGGUUGUCAAACUGUUUCCUCCCACAAAUUUUUCCAUUUUAUUCUGAACAGUAUACCUUUUUCAUUUUAUACUCUGUAUUACACUUUUAAAUCUUUGCUAACUUUACAGUUAAAUGAAUGAUAUCUCAAUAA